AUUCCUACGGGGGGCAGCAGCCGCGGUAAUACGUAGGGGGCAAGCGUUAUCCGGAUUUACUGGGUGUAAAGGGAGCGCAGACGGCUGUGCAAGUCUGGAGUGAAAGGCGGGGGCCCAACCCCCGGACUGCUCUGGAAACUGUAAAGCUGGAGUGCAGGAGAGGUAAGCGGAAUUCCUAGUGUAGCGGUGAAAUGCGUAGAUAUUAGGAGGAACACCAGUGGCGAAGGCGGCUUACUGGACUGCAACUGACGUUGAGGCUCGAAAGCGUGGGGAGCAAACAGGAU
rnacentral:rRNA from 1 species